CAUGUCCUUUUGAUAUUGUAUAUAAGGUCUAACCUGCCCUAUGAUUAAUAUAUUAAAUGGCCGCGGUAUUUUGACCGUGCAAAGGUAGCAUAAUCAUUAGUUUUUUAAUUGAAAGCUGGAAUGAAGGGUUGAAUGAGAAAAUAACUGUCUUUAUUAUAUUUAUUUAGAAUUUUAUCUUUAAGUUAAAAAGCUUAAAUUUAAUUUGUAGACGAGAAGACCCUUUAGAGUUUAAUAAAAAUUUAUUUUAAAUUUUUUAGUAAUAACUUAAUUUUAUAUAUAAAUUUUUAUUUGAUUGGGGUGAUUAAAAAAUUUAAAAAACUUUUUUUUUUAUUUAACAUUUAUAUAUGAAUAAUUGAUCCAUAAAUUAUGAUUAUAAGAUUAAAUUACCUAAGGGAUAACAGCGUUAUUUUUUUUGAGAGUUCUAAUCGAAAAAAAAGUUUGCGACCUCGAUGUUGGAUUAAAAUUAAAUUAUGGUGUAGAGGCUAUAACCUUA
rnacentral:rRNA from 1 species